UAACACCUGGAAACAGAUGCUAAUACCGGAUAACAACAGAUGAUGCCUAUCAACUGUUUAAAAGAUGGUUCUGCUAUCACUCUUGGAUGGACCUGCGGUGCAUUAGCUAGUUGGUAGGGUAACGGCCUACCAAGGCGAUGAUGCAUAGCCGAGUUGAGAGACUGAUCGGCCACAUUGGGACUGAGACACGGCCCAAACUCCUACGGGAGGCAGCAGAA
rnacentral:rRNA from 1 species